rnacentral:rRNA from 1 species
CAGCAGCCGCGGUAAUACGGAGGUUGCGAGCGUUAUCCGGAUUUAUUGGGUUUAAAGGGUGCGUAGGCGGUUUGAUAAGUCAGUGGUGAAAGUUUGCAGCUUAACUGUAAAAUUGCCAUUGAUACUGUCAGACUUGAGUACAGAUGAGGUAGGCGGAAUGUGUGGUGUAGCGGUGAAAUGCUUAGAUAUCACACAGAACACCGAUUGCGAAGGCAGCUUACUAAACUGACACUGACGCUGAGGCACGAAAGUGUGGGGAUCAAACAGGAUUAGAUACCCUGGUAGUCCACACUGUAAACGAUGAUUACUGGAUGUUUGCGAUAUACUGUAAGCGCUCAAGCGAAAGCAUUAAGUAAUCCACCUGGGGAGUACGUCGGCAACGAUGAAACUCAAAGGAAUGACGGGGGCCGCACAAGCGGAGGACAUGUGGUUAUUCGAUGAUACGCGAGACUUACCGGCUCGAACGACAGGGGAUAUGGGGGAACUUCAUAGCCAGCAUGGUCGCUGUCGAGGUGCUGCAUGGUUGUCGUUAGCUCGUGCCGCGAGGUGUCGGCUUAAGUGCCAUAACGAGCGCAACCCUUAUCUUUAGUUGCCAGCGGGUGAUGCCGGGGACUCUAGAGAAACUGCCAGCGUAAGCUGAGAGGAAGGUGGGGAUGACGUCAAAUCAGCACGGCCCUUACGUCCGGGGCGACACACGUGUUACAAUGGCCGGUACAGAGGGCAGCUACCCAGUGAUGGGAUGCGAAUCUCUGAAAGCCGGUCUCAGUUCGGAUUGGAGUCUGCAACUCGACUCCAUGAAGCUGGAUUCGCUAGUAAUCGCGCAUCAGCCAUGGCGCGGUGAAUACGUUCCCGGGCCUUGUACACACCGCCCGUCAAGCCAUGGAAGCUGGGGGUGCCUG